AAUUGAGAUAAAGAUUUUGGAAAACAUAGAUACAUGUACAUCAUCGCUUAGCACUUUGAGAAAGAGAUAAUAAUAGAAUCAUAUUUACCCCAAACUAAUUCAUGGGUGAUUGAUGAAAACAUCAACCAUUGUUUCAUUUCAUAAAGCAACACUGGGUGAGCACUAAAUAGACGGAACCAAAUGAUGUGAGGUUCAUGAUGGGUUCAUCGUUUCCAUUCAGUUUACACACCAUACGAAGAGGAAAAAGAAGUUAUUAAAAAAGUACAAGCGAUGCCGUCAGUUGGAUAUAAAGAAACGAGAGCUAGUACGUAUUACCACACCACCACAAUUUAACCCGAUUAGGCAAACAUCAAGAGUCCUGCAAAGACCGAAUCAAUCGGUACAUGUCUCGCUGAAAAACUUUAUAGUUGAAUGUUGUCUCCAUUUCUUGUGAUAUGAGUUUCAAGUUUUGAUCUUUUUUAAAAUCGUCAUCAAUCAUUUCAUCAUUUCAUCUUUUUGUUUGUUUGUUUUUUUAAUUUUUAAACAAUAUCGAACUUUAAUUACUGGAGUUCAGCCGACUGGAGAUGUAAAAGUCUUUAUCGUUUUUUGUUGACAAUCAUACUCGAAAAAAAAGAAAUCAAAUCAGAAUUGAACACGAAGUAUGACCCGAAUUGCUCUAGUACACGUGAUGUCGUCAUGGCAAGAAAUUUUGGUGAUGUGGGUCUACUAAUCCAAUAAUAGCGACUUCCUUACUUAUUAAGAGACUUGAAGGCAGUUCAAAAUACCUGUGUCUGCUCACAUAUGCAGCUUCCGGAAUCUGUUUUCAUCCUACAUAUUCUUACCCUUCUACUACUCAUUCACUUUAUGUUUACCCUAGCAAAAUGAAGUAACAUUGUUUAAAAAGAAU